rnacentral:lncRNA from 1 species
AAGGAAAAAAGAAAAAAAAGGAAAAGGAAAAGGAGUACACACCACGAGAGUCUCGCUAAACUAGAUUGACUUUAUUUCACAAUACCCAAUAAUGAUUUAAGCCAUUUGUCAAUCUAAUUAAGAAAUUUUCGAAACUAAGCCCUAAUUUUGGAUCUUUGUGAAUUUUAAGCUAGUGGGUUAAAUCUAUGAGUUGUUAAGGUGAGAAAUUAUGGAGUAUUGAUAGUUUCGGAUGUUGUAGAACUAUAGAAUUUUACAUAAUUCAAUUUAGAGUUAUACCCUAAACGUAUAGCUUCGAAACUAUUCACCAAAGAUUUGAGCAUCAUCGGGCCAAUUAUCGAGAUGCGCUUGUAGCACCGCCAUUAGAUCUACCGAACUAGAAUGC